rnacentral:rRNA from 1 species
UAGGGAGGAGGCAAGCGUUAUCCGGAAUUAUUGGGCGUAAAGCGUCCGUAGGUGGCCAUUCAAGUCUGCUGUCAAAGCAUGGAGCUUAACUCCAUAGAGGCAGUGGAAACUGAAUAGCUAGAGUUCGGUAGGGGUAGCGGGAAUCCCCAGUGUAGCGGUGAAAUGGGUAGAGAUUGGGAAGAACAUCGGUGGCGAAAGCGCGCUACUGGGCCGAAACUGACACUGAGGGACGAAAGCUAGGGGAGCGAAAGGG